CGGAAUUAUUGGGCGUAAAGCGCGCGUAGUCGGUUUUUUAAGUCUGAUGCGAAGCCCACGGCUCAACCGUGGAGGGUCAUUGGUACUGGAAAACUUGAGUGCAGAAGAGGAAAGUGGAAUUCCAUGUGUAGCGGUGAUAUGCGCAGAGAUAUGGAGGACAUCCAUGUGGCGAAGGCGACUUUCUUGGUCUGUAACUGACGCUGAUGUG
rnacentral:rRNA from 1 species